GUCGCCGGCCACCCUGUCGCCUUUUCGCGUGAGCGGAGGGGAGGAAAGUCCGGACAACGCAGGGCACCACACCAGCUAACGGCUGGGGUUCUGUCGCGAAGGCGGCGGGGCACAGAUAGGGUCACAGAAACAUACCGCCGAUGUCUUCCUUUGAAGGCAGGUAAGGGUGAAAUCGUGCGGUAAGAGCGCACGCCUUUGUAGGGUAACCUCGGAGGGGAUAAACCUUGUGGGUUGAAAUGCCAUGUACAUCCCGGCCGAAAGGCAGGCCUGCCCGGUCUGUUUCGCCUCGGCGAUGCCGGGAGGGGUAGGCAGAUUCAUUUCGUCAGUGAUGGCGAAAGCAGAUAAAUGACAGGGCCACAUGCUUCGGCAGGUGGACAGAAUCCGGCUUAUAGGCCGGCGAUAUUU
rnacentral:RNase_P_RNA from 1 species